rnacentral:rRNA from 1 species
GACGAACGCUGGCGGCGUGCUUAACACAUGCAAGUCGAACGGAAAGGCCCUGCUUUUGUGGGGUGCUCGAGUGGCGAACGGGUGAGUAACACGUGAGUAACCUGCCCUUGACUUUGGGAUAACUUCAGGAAACUGGGGCUAAUACCGGAUAGGAGCUCCUGCUGCAUGGUGGGGGUUGGAAAGUUUCGGCGGUUGGGGAUGUACUCGCGGCUUAUCAGCUUGUUGGUGGGGUAGUGUCUUACCAAGGCUUUGACGGGUAGCCGGCCUGAGAGGGUGACCGGCCAAAUUGGGACUGAGAUACGGCCCAGACUCCUACGGGAGGCAGCAGUGGGGAAUAUUGCACAAUGGGCGGAAGCCUGAUGCAGCAACGCCGCGUGCGGGAUGACGGCCUUCGGGUUGUAAACCGCUUUCGCCUGUGACGAAGCGUGAGUGACGGUAAUGGGUAAAGAAGCACCGGCUAACUACGUG